GCGGAAGUGGCGGAAUUGGAAGACGCACCAGAUUUAGGUUCUGGCAUUAUUUAUAAUAUACGAGUUCAAAUCUCGUCUUCCGCA
rnacentral:tRNA from 1 species